rnacentral:rRNA from 1 species
GACGAACGCUGGCGGCGUGCCUAACACAUGCAAGUCAACUUGAGGGAAGGAGCAAUCUGUCCUGAUGGUGGCGCAAGGGUGCGUAACGCGUAAGUAACUUGCCCAAGGUAAGGAAUAACGUCGAGAAAUCGGCGCUAAUACCUCAUAAUGCAGCGGAUCCGCAUGGAUAUGUUGUUAAAGGUUUACCGCCUUGGGAUAGGCUUGCGUCUGAUUAGCUAGUUGGUGUGGUAAUGGCACACCAAGGCUACGAUCAGUAACUGGUCUGAGAGGAUGAUCAGUCACACUGGAACUGAGACACGGUCCAGACUCCUACGGGAGGCAGCAGUGAGGAAUAUUGGGCAAUGCACGAAAGUGUGACCCAGCAACGCCGCGUGGAGGAUGAAGGUAUUCUAUAUCGUAAACUCCUGUGAGAGCAGACGAAAGACAGAUUAUUAAUUGGAUGACUGUAUGCUCAGAGGAAGCCCCGGCUAACU